UUUUGUCCAAUCUACUCUUUCCCUCUUUUCAAUGCAUAAUUAACUGGGGCAUUUCUUAGGAUACAGGAUAACAUCUUGUUCCUUUAACAUUGUUGAAUUAUAUUGUUGAAUUAUGAAUUUAUAGUAGGUACACUGUAACCAUACUAUAUGAACUAUUUGUUUUUAUUUUCAACCAAAAAUCAGCUCUAUAGUCAUAUGUUUUUUACAUAUAUAAUAUCUAUAACAUCUACACAAACUACUUCAAUCAUAUGUACUAAUUUAAUGGUUCCACAGUUUUCUGGCCACAUCCAAUAUUUUGAGGCCCUCAGCCUGAUAGUGGAUAUCGGGCUGGGCUUCAACUUUCUUUCCACUGUUUUGGGCACAUUUGGCGAUGUGUCGCAGUUUCCUCCUUGGUAUGGCCAAUUGUGCAGUUUGUUUAUUGGCCACAAGGGCGCUCGGGGAGUUUAGUGUUAGCCUCCACACUCACUCCCCUUACCACAGCUGAUUUUCCCCUAUGCAAUGUCGUUAGCAAUCUUCCUUUUUUGUCGGUAAUACUGACAACACAGCCCCUGUCCAUCUGUGAUCAGCUUGUCUUGUUUGCUGUGUGCAUUGUCACACAUACUUUCUUGAGCCCACUUGUCCACUGAUGGGGUUAAAUUUUCUCCCCACCGUUUGACAUAGUGAGCUCUCUGCUUGAUCCAUUCCACCUGUCAUCCCAUCAAGCCUCCUCACGCUGCAGGUGUAUUGCACGCAUUGCUUUGGGACUUGUUUCAGCUGUGAUUGGCCCACCCGAUAUCAUGUGAUGCUUACACGUCACACAUCGGGUUAGGACAGCCUAUUUAAACGGCAUUUUGCUGCACACCCAGUGCAGAAUGCCGCAGGGUCAUAUGUUCAGUGAGCACUCUUGUCCUUAAUGCUUUGCAGGUAUGUUAAACUCCUUUUGUGCUAUCUCCCUACAACUACACUGCUAGAUUUCACUCCAUCUAAUUGCAACUAUGCUUGCUGUGUAUGCUCUUUAGUUCCCCUUCUGGAUCAAGCAGCUGAUUUCUUCUGGCUUUAUACACACUAAGCUUAUUGUGACUUUGCAACACUGCCUGCGAUCCUUAUAUAGAUCUUAUACAGAUAUUUUGGGAAAUCUACAUGAUUCCUUCCUUGAAUUAACACUGCAGCUGGAUUGCUCAUUGAUGUCCCUGGUCUUUAACCCCAUAAACCGUUAUAUAUGUAAGUCAUUUAUGCUUUAUGGUCUCACAGUCAUUACUGCUAAACUAAGUUAACCAAUAUUUUGGUCAUUAUGUCUUAAAUACAUAUAUAUCUCACAGAUAAUAAUAUGUUAACCCCUAGCCAUCCCUAUUGCUUUGGCUAUGGUGUGUUUUUUUUUUUUUUUUUCUGUCUCACUUACAUGUUAACCCUUAUAUGACUGUCCUUUUGUGACCAUUUUCAAACUUUUCCUGCUCAUUUGCAGGAUCAUGCACAUGACCAUUUUCACCUCGGCGGUUUUCUGUGUUUGUCGCUAGUUGUGGGCAACUCGUGGUUGCAUAUUUUGACUGGAUAUCGCUCCCUCCCCUGAAGAAGCGGAAGUCCGCGAAACAUGUAGGGUCUAUGCGAUUUCCUUUUCCAGUUGCAUCCAUA